rnacentral:rRNA from 1 species
GAUGAACGCUGGCGGCGUGCCUAAUACAUGCAAGUCGAGCGAACAGACGAGGAGCUUGCUCCUCUGACGUUAGCGGCGGACGGGUAAGUAACACGUGGACAACCUACCUAUAAGACUGGGAUAACUUCGGGAAACCGGAGCUAAUACCGGAUAAUAUAUUGAACCGCAUGGUUCAAUAGUGAAAGACGGUUUUGCUGUCACUUAUAGAUGGAUCCGCGCCGCAUUAGCUAGUUGGUAAGGUAACGGCUUACCAAGGCAACGAUGCGUAGCCGACCUGAGAGGGUGAUCGGCCACACUGGAACUGAGACACGGUCCAGACUCCUACGGGAGGCAGCAGUAGGGAAUCUUCCGCAAUGGGCGAAAGCCUGACGGAGCAACGCCGCGUGAGUGAUGAAGGUCUUCGGAUCGUAAAACUCUGUUAUUAGGGAAGAACAAAUGUGUAAGUAACUAUGCACGUCUUGACGGUACCUAAUCAGAAAGCCACGGCUAACUACGUG